UGUCUACCUGUUCAAUGCCUCCAUCAUCUGUAACCAUACCAACCAGGUCAGCUGGACCAGUAAUAAGACGGAGAUUCAGCCUCUCUGCUCUCCAACUGUUGUUCCUAAUCUGGGCAUACCAAUUGGCAUUGGGACUGGGGCUGCAGUUUUCUUUGGCCUUUUCCUUGGCUCCCUAAUAUGAUAUCAUUCCCACCCAAACUCCUAAUGAGACUGUCACAGGAGAUGAUUCAGGACUUUCUCCAAACUCCAUCUACGCUUUGGUGGGAUUUCCAACGGCAGCUGUACAAUAUGAGACAAGCCAGAGACUGUUUAUGCUUUAUUACAAAAUGCAAAUUACCAAAGCUAGCAAAACCUUGGACCUUGGAGCAGUAAAGGCAGUGACCGAAACUCUCACUUCUUAAUGACCACUUUUAAAAACAGUGGUCUGAAUAAAGCAUACAAGUGAUUUUAAUGUGUGUUCUUUUUACAGGGUCCAGUGCUGUGACACCUGUGUUUGUGCAGAAAGGGAAGGAUUUACAUCUGGAUGUUAACAAACCUGUUGAUAUACCAGAAGCUGAUAAAUUUAUGUGGAAAGUCAAUGACACUCGCAGCAUAGUGAGAUUAUUUCCUGAUAACAAAACAAGAAUAGUUAAGCUUGAGUUUUCUGUAGUACAAAAUCACUCUUUGCUUUUGAAUUUAAAUGGACAGACGAUAAUGAUCACAAUGUGGUGAGAUUACGCGCUGGUAAUUGUAUGUUUUAAUGUUUCUCAAAUUACAUGUUUUUCUGUUUUAUGUAAAGCACACUGAGUUGCCAUUGUGUAUGAAAUGCGCUAUAUAAAUAAAACUGCCUUUCCUUUU